UUUGUUAGUUGGGAUUAUUUUUUAUAAAAUACUUUUGAUGCUUAUAAUAAUCAAAAACAAUUCUUUUUUUAUUAUUUUGCAGAUUGCGGCUUGACGAAAAUAACUUGAAAAUCAUGACUCAGAUCAACCCGGAACUCCUUCCAAUUGUCCUUUUGGAAUUUCACAACUUUAUCAAAUGGAUUAAGCCGUUUACGCAGCCAGAUGGGGUGGAUUUUUGUUUCUCAAAAAAGAAAACAAUUUCAAGCACCGACUAAACGAUUUCUAAUCCAACACGAAAUGGUGCAUACUUACAUAUGGACCAUUAACAGAAACCCGUAAAUCCGAACUUGUGCUGUUUUAUAUCUGUUACAAGACCGGCAUUAUGGGAGUCUGUCAAUGCAAACAACUGGUUUUUGGCAGCAAAAUCAAAUGACAGAUCAAUUAAAUGUAAAAAUUGUGGAGUAUGGAUAACACGUGGGUUUAAAGCGCUAUUAAACAUACAAAAUCACAUAAUGAAACAAAAUAACUAUAACAACGAAUAAUAUAAAAAAAUAUAUGCAGUGCAAAACAGGAACAAAAACACCAAAUUAAUUAUAAUAAAAAUAAAUUAAUAUAACUUUUUAUAUAAAUAAAAUGUGUGUACAUCUGAAAUAACUCAAUACCAAUAAUUUAUUUAUAAGGAAAAAUGUUUAAAUCGUGUUGAAAUGAACCUCAAAAUAUUAAAAAAAUUAAAUGCAUUUAAAAAAUUUUUAAGUAAGUCAUGUAUAAAAUUUCAAAGACAGCAUAGGUAUCAAACUUUAAUAUGAUUUCUCCCCAUUAUUAUUGUUUUUGUUCGCCAUCAUCUUAUCAUCCAAAAACCUAUAAAACGACCCAGAAAAUCCUUUAAAAACCAAACCACCCAGCAAAAAGGACUACACCAAGGACCUUUUUCUCUCUGGCAAAUUGAGGUAGUAGGUUGUAUAGUAGUAACUACAAAUCAUACUAUACAAUGUGCUAGCUUUCUUUGCUUGACUACAAGCCGCAAUUGAUUAAAACUCCCAAUCGAACUUCACCGCCAACCAAAACCCAUUCCCAGCCAUACAAAAGUUGGCGGUGCAAGAAAAGUUGAUUGUGGACAACAAGAAAAGUGUUCUAAGCCAGACUUUCACUGAACUUCAUUAAGAAUGCCUCGGAUAUAGAAAUUCAACACACGGCAUAUGUAAAUAUUGGCAUUAGUGACAUGUGCAAAUGUUUGUAUGGCUGAUUCCCUGAGACCCUAACUUGUGACUUUUAAUACCAGUUUCACAAGUUUUGAUCUCCGGUAUUGGACGCAAACUUGCUGAUGUUAAUAAAAAAAGGCAAAAACUAUAGCUGAUCGAGGGAAGUAUUAUCGGAACUACUAAACUAUUCUUUAAAAGGUAAAAGCUUACGAACAAUUAUACAAGAUCACAAGCUCUAAGAUUCAAGUUUCUUUUACAGAAAGAUGUGGUUCUGCUGGUUUUAAAUGGUGAGAGGAUCCUAUUUUAACACCUUUGGAAUAACAUUUGGAUUGGUUGGUACUCAAGACAUUCACUGGAUUAUAUAAUUUUGUAUUAAGCAAAAAAAAAAAAGGAUUGUUUCAAGUAUCAAAUUUUUCCAAGAUAUUUUUGGAAAAAUAUUUCUUUUAAUUUUGCAUACGAUUUUAGUAUGAUAUUUCUUUAUUAUUUUUUUUAACUGAUUUUAGUAUGAUAUUUCUUUAUUAUUUUUUUUUUUUAACUGAUUUUGUUUUUUCCCCAAAUAACAAAUAACGUUUAGAUCAGUUGCCUAUAAAAAAUCUUUAUUGUAAAGCCAUUGACUUCAACAGAACUAUUACUGAAACCACACAUCAUACAUAUACAUACAUAAUUUUGAUGUAUUUAAGCUACAAACUACUCCUAAGUUCUAGAGAUACAAUGUGAGAGGAUUGUGAAUAAACUGAUAAAAAGUA